UCCAGAGUCUAGAAUACAGUUUGACUGUACAUACUUAACUGUAAGGGCAGUGGAAUUACAUGUGGAUGAGUAGUGGCCCUUAGCCAAAUUUGCACUAGAACCUGUAGCUGAGGCUCCUUCUAUGCUGCCCUAUAAAUUAGACUGACCAAGAAUGUGUAAAAUUUGGUUGUAAUGCUCAUGCAACACAUUCAUUCCUUUGUGAUACUCAAUAUGAUCAGAUUGCCUAGUUUCACUGCCAUAACUGUGAGCCCUUUGAUUCACAACUCUCAUAUAUUCAGGCUCAUUAUUAGACCUAGGUGAAUGAUCAGAUUCACUAACCACAUUGUGAGCAGCUGGAUGUGGUCUCUUAUCA
rnacentral:lncRNA from 1 species